GGUUGGUUGUCCUCUUAACUGAGAAGUGUCGAGACAUUGGUAUGGCAUAUAAAUGAGAGGUAAGAGUAUAUCUUAUUGAACGUAACCAACUGUGGAGUACUUUGCUGUCAAGAGCAGCUCGUGAAGGGUAUAGGUAUAAAUGUCCCUCCACCAUAAGAUCACCAUGGUAACUUAUAAGCAACUCAGUGUGUUUUGGUGCUGGAUUACUUGAAUU
rnacentral:lncRNA from 1 species